rnacentral:misc_RNA from 1 species
UUGUUUGAACAAAUUUUUCAAAAACAAAUGAAAGUAAUAACCUUUGCCUUACAUACUUAUAGCCCUCAAACCACAUUGUUCACAUGAAUUUUCCGUGACAAGAUAUAUUUAUACAAUGGAUCAACGAAGUUUCUUGAGUAAGCCAAGUAAUUUAAUCCCUACUGCCUAUGUCCUUGUGACUUCAUCUAUGUUGAAUGUUCUAUGAUGACUAAAUGUAUCAUUGAUCUUUCAACAAGUCUCCUUCAGAAACUUGAUUUGUAGUAGGUGGUGAGCCAGCCAACGAAGUGCCAGUUGAGAUGGAAACAGUCGGUGUUGGACCUGUGGAUAAUGUGGAUGUUGGUGUUGCAUUGCCUGUGACAGAGGUGCCAUAGACAGAAGGCUGUGAUAUUGAGUUAGAAGCCUUCUCUUGAGAUGCAUGCAUGUUGAUCUUUAUUUUGUUGUGAAUAUUGACAUAUUCAUCAGUUUCAUCCAAUAUUUCCUCCUGAAGAAGUUCUUCAAUUACAUCCUCCAUGGUAAUUACACCAACAACUUCCUCACCGGAUAGGAAUUGUGGAAUGGGGGAAUUCUCAAUGUCCAGAAUGCAAUAUGAGCAACCUCUGUGACGCUUCUUAAAGGCAGGAGUAGGUGGUGGACUCUUUUGUCUCUGUUGACCUUCAUCACUCUUCCCGAUAGCAGUCUUAGAAUCAAGUGACUCCAAACCAGCCUUCAUAUUCUGGACAGCAGCAGUGGGCCCAACCGAAUUAUCAUCUUUCUUAAAUGAUGUCUCUGUGCCUCUCUGCUUCUUGCAGCUGUCCUUAAAUUCAAGCUGUUGACCGUCUUUGCCUUUCCUUGAUGUGUCUGUUUUUGCACUUAAAUCUUUAUAUACAACAGCAAGGUGGCUGUGACCUUUCUGAAAUUCGUUCAGAAUGUCGUAUAGAGGCAUGUCUUCUGAAACCCGAGGAAUUUUCCUAAUGAUCAUUUUUCUUAGAGGAACUGCACCUUUUGGAUCAACUGAUAACAGAUUUUUAACCAGAAUAAGUCCAAUUAUAUUUUUUGGAUCUCCUGCAUAAACUGGGACUCUACUGUGACCCUUUGUCAUUAUUGCAUUCAAUGUGUCCAAAUUAAGAGUUGCAUCCAGAUCAAGCGAAAAUGCUUUCGAUAUGGGAGUCAUGGCAUCUUUUGCUGUCUUUUCAGUCAAUUCAAGUGCCCCAGUAAUUAUAGUAGUCUCAUCAUGUGUCAAAUCCCCACCUUUCCCUGCCUCAUUGCCAUGAAAAUUAACAAAAGUUUUGAGCUCUGCUCUCCGUAAAAGGACAGCAUGUCCUUUGCCCAACAUCCAAUCCAGAACCUUACUAAUUGGAUAAGAAAUGGGGUAGAACAACAUAACAAGAACACGAACAAAUGGUGCCAUUAUUGCUCCGACUUUCAAGCCAUAACGAGUACAUACUGCUUGUGGCAAUAUCUCUCCAAACAUUAGUAUGAGAGUUACUGAUAUCAGAAUUGCAGCCCAAGGAGGCACAAUCUUGUCCAAGAAUAUGGGAAGAGCCUCCAUUGCUAAAGAGUUGCCAAUCAACAGAGUACAUAGCAGAAGAUGCUGAUUCUUUACCACUGGCAAUAUUUUAGCGGCAUGGAUUCGAUCCUUAGGACGACCAGAAUUCUUGAGCACUUCAAGGUCGACGAGGCCUAAAGACAUGAGACCCAGCGUUAGGCCAGCCAU